rnacentral:rRNA from 1 species
UCUGGCGGCAGUAGCGCGGUGGUCCCACCUGACCCCAUGCCGAACUCAGAAGUGAAACGCCGUAGCGCCGAUGGUAGUGUGGGGUCUCCCCAUGCGAGAGUACGGAACUGCCAGAC